CUGUUUUACUUGCCUGACUGUCUAGGAACCCUGACCUGAGGUGAUCCAACACAGGUGGAAGAAUGUUUGCCAAAUUUCUGAAGCUACUAUCGUGGGUGGGACUGUGGAGGGCGCCCAUGGUGGUACUGAAUGAUAACGCCCCCGCCAUCAACCUCACCACCACACCCACACAGAUGGUCGACAUGACUGCUAGGUUUAUGGACGUAUUAGUCGACAACUUCGUGAGUGAGGACAGGCAGAAGGUGUCGUACCUGGCUCUAGAACAAAGUACCUUCUACAAGCGCAACUUCGACGAGUUCGGCUCCCUACUGAAGAAAGUCGACCCCCUUCAGAUGAACGAUAC